AGUAAUGCAUAGGAAACUGCCCAGUAGUGGGGGAUAGCCCGGGGAAACCCGGAUUAAUACCGCGUACGCCCUUCGGGGGAAAGCAGGGGAUCUUCGGACCUUGCGCUAUUGGAUGUGCCUAUGUCGGAUUAGCUAGUUGGUAGGGUAAAGGCCUACCAAGGCGACGAUCCGUAGCUGGUCUGAGAGGAUGAUCAGCCACAUCGGGACUGAGACACGGCCCGAACUCCUACGGGAGGCAGCAGUGGGGAAUAUUGGACAAUGGGGGCAACCCUGAUCCAGCCAUGCCGCGUGUGUGAAGAAGGCUUUCGGGUUGUAAAGCACUUUCAGUGAGGAGGAAAAGUUGGUCACUAAUAUUGGCCAGCCUUGACGUUACUCACAGAAGAAGCACCGGCUAACUCCGUGCCAGCAGCCGCGGUAAUACGGAGGGUGCAAGCGUUAAUCGGAAUUACUGGGCGUAAAGCGCGCGUAGGUGGUUUGAUAAGCGAGAUGUGAAAGCCCCGGGCUUAACCUGGGAACGGCAUUUCGAACUGUCAGGCUAGAGUAUGGUAGAGGAGUGUGGAAUUUCCUGUGUAGCGGUGAAAUGCGUAGAUAUAGGAAGGAACACCAGUGGCGAAGGCGGCACUCUGGACCAAUACUGACACUGAGGUGCGAAAGCGUGGG
rnacentral:rRNA from 1 species